rnacentral:rRNA from 1 species
AAUCAUAAUGGCCGAAAAUCUAAGGUUUCUUGGGGAAGGUUCGUCCGCCCAAGGUUAGUCGGGAGCUAAGCUCAGGCCGAAAGGCGUAGGCGAUGCACAUACGGUAGAAAUUCCGUAACCACCGAACAUUUAAGCUAGAGGGACGCUUUCUUUAAGGUUAUCCCGGGCGAUGGUUGCCCCGGGCGUAAGGGACCGAAAUUUAGUAGGGAAGUAACUGGCGAGAGAGACGAGAAAAGCUCUAGUGUAUACUAAGGUGCCCGUACCGCAAACCGACACAGGUAGAUGGGAUGAGUAUUCUAAGGCCAACGGGAGAAGGGUUGUUAAGGAACUCGGCAAAUUGGCCCCGUAACUUCGGGAUAAGGGGCGCCUGCGAGAGCAGGCCGCAGUGAAAAGGCCCAAGCGACUGUUUAGCAAAAACACAGCUCUCUGCUAAAUCGAAAGAUGACGUAUAGGGGGUGACGCCUGCCCGGUGCUGGAAGGUUAAGGGGAGUGCUUAGCGCAAGCGAAGGUGCGAACUUAAGCCCCAGUAAACGGCGGCCGUAACUAUAACGGUCCUAAGGUAGCGAAAUUCCUUGUCAGGUAAGUUCUGACCCGCACGAAUGGCGUAACGAUUUGGGCACUGUCUCAACAGCCCGCCCGGCGAAAUUGUAGUACCGGUGAAGAUGCCGGUUUCCCGCAACUAGACGGAAAGACCCCAUGGAGCUUCACUGUAGCUUGAUAUUGGAUCUCGGUAUUCCAUGUACAGGAUAGGUGGGAGGCUAGGAAGCGAGCGCGCCAGCGUUCGUGGAGCCAACCUUGGGAUACCACUCUUGGGAUAUUGGGAUUCUAACCUGCGACCAUGAAUCUGGUCGGGGGACACUGUCAGGUGGGCAGUUUGACUGGGGCGGUCGCCUCCAAAAGAGUAACGGAGGCGCUCAAAGGUUCGUUCAGCACGGACGGAAAUCGUGCACUGAGUGUAAACGCAUAAACGAGCCUAACUGCGAGAAUGACGGUUCGAGCAGUAACGAAAGUUGGAGUUAGUGAUCCGGCGGUAUGUGAAUGGAAAUGCCGUCGCUCAACGGAUAAAAGCUACCCUGGGGAUAACAGGCUGAUCUCCCCCAAGAGUCCACAUCGACGGGGAGGUUUGGCACCUCGAUGUCGGCUCAUCGCAUCCUGGGGCUGAAUUCGGUCCCAAGGGUUUGGCUGUUCGCCAAUUAAAGCGGUACGCGAGCUGGGUUCAGAACGUCGUGAGACAGUUCGGUCCCUAUCUGUUGCGGGCGCAGGAAUAUUGAGAGGAGCUGUCCUUAGUACGAGAGGACCGGGAUGGACGUACCGCUGGUGCACCAGUUGUUCUGCCAAGGGCAUAGCUGGGUAGCUAAGUACGGACGAGAUAAACGCUGAAGGCAUCUAAGCGUGAAACUCCCCUCGAGAUAAGUGUUCCCAUCCUUCGGGAGUAAGGCCCCUUGUAGACUACAAGGUUGAUAGGUCAGGAGUGGAAGUGCAGUAAUGUAUGGAGCGGACUGAUACUAAUAGGCCGAGGGCUUGACCU